rnacentral:rRNA from 1 species
UACGGGGGGGGCAAGCGUUGUUCGGAAUUACUGGGCGUAAAGGGCUCGUAGGUGGCCAACUAAGUCAGACGUGAAAUCCCUCGGCUUAACCGGGGGAACUGCGUCUGAUACUGGAUGGCUUGAGUUCGGGAGAGGGAUGCGGAAUUCCAGGUGUAGCGGUGAAAUGCGUAGAUAUCUGGAGGAACACCGGUGGCGAAGGCGGCAUCCUGGACCGACACUGACACUGAGGAGCGAAAGCCAGGGGAGCAAAGCGGG